rnacentral:rRNA from 1 species
GACGAACGCUGGCGGCGUGCUUAACACAUGCAAGUCGAACGGAAAGGCCCUGCUUUUGUGGGGUGCUCGAGUGGCGAACGGGUGAGUAACACGUGAGUAACCUGCCCUUGACUUUGGGAUAACUUCAGGAAACUGGGGCUAAUACCGGAUAGGAGCUCCUGCUGCGUGGUGGGGGUUGGAAAGUUUCGGCGGUUGGGGAUGGACUCGCGGCUUAUCAGCUUGUUGGUGGGGUAGUGGCUGACCAAGGCUUUGACGGGUAGCCGGCCUGGGAGGGUGACCGGCCACAUUGGGACUGCGGUACGGCCCAGACUCCUACGGGAGGCAGCAGUGGGGAAUAUUGCACAAUGGGCGGAAGCCUGAUGCAGCAACGCCGCGUGCGGGAUGACGGCCUUCGGGUUGUAAACCGCUUUCGCCUGUGACGAAGCGUGAGUGACGGUAAUGGGUAAAGAAGCACCGGCUAACUACGUG